UAUUGUAAGGAAUGUAUUUGAAGGUCACGUACCUGGGGAAGUAAACUUUGAUGUAUGUAAAUUAAGUUCGAAUGUAUUAUUAUUUAGUAUUAUUCAGCUUAAAGAAAUGGUAUCGUGGAGAACCGAGUUCGGGUUUCAAGUAUCCGGAUUUGGGGUCGCCACAAGGUGUAUAAGGAGCAGAGAAGUUAUGACUUAUACCGUUCUCAUCACAGAACAUAAUGAAAUCAG
rnacentral:lncRNA from 1 species